GCCAGGGGCUGGUGGGCACCGGCGUUCGCCCUGCUGGCGACGGGCCUGGCUGCGAAGGUCACGGGGGCGUUCGCGAUCGUGCCGCUGCUCCUGGUG
rnacentral:tRNA from 1 species